AGAGGAAUUGCUGGGUCAUAUGGUCACUCUACAUAGAACUUUUUGAGGACUUGCCAAAUUGUUUUCCAAAGUGGCUGCGCCAUUUUACAUGCCCAUCAGCAAU
rnacentral:pre_miRNA from 3 species